AACGAACGCUGGCGGCGUGGAUAAGACAUGCAAGUCGAACGGGAAGUAUUCAAGCUUGCUUUAAUGCUUUCAGUGGCGAACGGGUGAGUAACACGUGAGUUACCUGCCCCAAAGUGGGGGACAGCCCGAGGAAACUCGGAUUAAUACCGCAUGUGCUCGCAAGAGUAAAGGUGGCGAAAGCUGCCGCUUUGGGAUGGGCUCGCGGCCUAUCAGCUAGUUGGUGGGGUAAUGGCUCACCAAGGCUAUGACGGGUAGCUGGUCUGAGAGGACGACCAGCCACACUGGAACUGAGACACGGUCCAGACACCUCCGGGGGGCAGCAGUCGAGAAUCAUUCACAAUGGGCGAAAGCCGGAUGGUGCGACGCCGCGGGGAGGACGAAGGCCCUAGGGUCGUAAACUCCUGUCAUCAGGGAGUAAGGAGUUUUAUAGUAACUGAUAAAGCUAUUGAUAGUACCUGAAGAGGAAGGGACGGCUAACUUCGUGCCAGCAGCCGCCGUAAUAC
rnacentral:rRNA from 1 species